rnacentral:rRNA from 1 species
AUGAACGCUGGCGGCGUGCCUAAUACCUGCAAGUCGAGCGAACGGACGAGAAGCUUGCUUCUCUGAUGUUAGCGGCGGACGGGUGAGUAACACGUGGAUAACCUACCUAUAAGACUGGGAUAACUUCGGGAAACCGGAGCUAAUACCGGAUAAUAUUUUGAACCGCAUGGUUCAAAAGUGAAAGACGGUCUUGCUGUCACUUAUAGAUGGAUCCGCGCUGCAUUAGCUAGUUGGUAAGGUAACGGCUUACCAAGGCAACGAUGCAUAGCCGACCUGAGAGGGUGAUCGGCGACACUGGAACUGAGACACGGUCCAGACUCCUACGGGAGGCAGCAGUAGGGAAUCUUCCGCAAUGGGCGAAAGCCUGACGGAGCAACGCCGCGUGAGUGAUGAAGGUCUUCGGAUCGUAAAACUCUGUUAUUAGGGAAGAACAUAUGUGUAAGUAACUGUGCACAUCUUGACGGUACCUAAUCAGAAAGCCACGGCUAACUACGUG